AGAGUUUGAUCCUGGCUCAGGAUGAACGCUGGCGGCGUGCUUAACACAUGCAAGUCGAACGAAGCACUUUAUUUGAUUUCCUUCGGGACUGAUUAUUUUGUGACUGAGUGGCGGACGGGUGAGUAACGCGUGGGUAACCUGCCUUGUACAGGGGGAUAACAGUUGGAAACGGCUGCUAAUACCGCAUAAGCGCACAGCAUCGCAUGAUGCAGUGUGAAAAACUCCGGUGGUAUAAGAUGGACCCGCGUUGGAUUAGCUAGUUGGUGAGGUAACGGCCCACCAAGGCAACGAUCCAUAGCCGACCUGAGAGGGUGACCGGCCACAUUGGGACUGAGACACGGCCCAAACUCCUACGGGAGGCAGCAGUGGGGAAUAUUGCACAAUGGGCGAAAGCCUGAUGCAGCGACGCCGCGUGAGCGAAGAAGUAUUUCGGUAUGUAAACUUCUAUCAGCAGGGAAGAUAGUGACGGUACCUGACUAAGAAGCCCCGGCUAACUACGUGCCAGCAGCCGCGGUAAUACGUAGGGGGCAAGCGUUAUCCGGAUUUACUGGGUGUAAAGGGAGCGUAGACGGUGUGGCAAGUCUGAUGUGAAAGGCAUGGGCUCAACCUGUGGACUGCAUUGGAAACUGUCAUACUUGAGUGCCGGAGGGGUAAGCGGAAUUCCUAGUGUAGCGGUGAAAUGCGUAGAUAUUAGGAGGAACACCAGUGGCGAAGGCGGCUUACUGGACGGUAACUGACGUUGAGGCUCGAAAGCGUGGGGAGCAAACAGGAUUAGAUACCCUGGUAGUCCACGCCGUAAACGAUG
rnacentral:rRNA from 1 species